CAGCCUAUCCAGCAAGUCUGCCAGGAAGAGGCCCUCAGCCGCCUGCUGCUAUCUCGAGUUUGCAAAGAGGAAAAGAAUCCUGGUGCUUGCCAGAAAUGAACCACUUGCGUGGUGCUGAGAUCAGGGUUUCUUGGUGCUGAGAAAUCCAUCAGCCAGUCCACAGAAACUUAGAAUUGUCAUUUCAGACCGCGUCUCUUAAGACAUUUGACACUCAAUGUGUCAUUUAAGAUAGCAGCCCUGCACUUACAGGUACAAAAUCACCAUCUUCUGAAUUAUGGUGGAACAAUCAAGACGGAUGAGAUCAAAGGAAAGAAAAAGGAAAAUCAUUUCUAGCUUUAUCCAAGACCUGGUGAUACCAGACCUUGUUCCAGACAUGGAAAGUCAGAGACACAAGGCCCCUGGCAGGGGUAGGCUGGGGUGGUGAACUGACACGUAAGUAAAUAUGUAAAGGAGGGGAGGCUGACACCGGAAGGGCGAGGAGAGUUCAGUGCUGGUGCCUGGGGCAGGCCUCCCUGUGGCCACAUUCCUGCUUCCUGCUGGGGGAGGCUAAGGGAGGGGCGCAAAGGUGCUGGUGGGCAGAGGGAAGGUGUCAAGGGGGUGGUGUGCCCCCUGCCAUCUGCAAUCGUGUACUUAAAGGGAGGAGGACUGGCGCAUUCCAACAAUUUGGGCUCUCACUGCUUGAGCAAACCCUGGUGUGCAUUUGGCCUCAGGGCCUGGAAGACGACAGUUCAAGAAACCACAGGACUCCAGCAAUGAGCUGCUCCCCUUGCUGUGUGUGUGUGUGUGUGUGUGUGUGUGUGUGUGUGUAGGGUGAGGGAUGGCAAGUAGGAAAGGAAUUCCAGGAAGAAUAAAGUGCAUGUGCAAAGGCCCUGGGGCAGGAGGAGCCUUGGCUGCUGGAGGAAGCAUAAGAAAGCUGAGGUGUCGGCUGGGCACAGUGGCUCAUGCCUGUAAUCCCAGCAGUUUGGGGGGCUGAGACGGGUAGAUCAGGAGUUCGUGACCAGCCUGGCCAACAUGGCAAAACCCCGUCUCUACUAAAAAUACAAAAAUUAACCAGGCGUGGUGGUACAUGCCUGUAGUCCCAGCUACCCGGGAGGCUGAGGCAGGAGAAUCACUUAAAUCCAGGAGGUGGAGGUUGCAGUAAGCUGAGAUUGUGCCACUGCACUCCAGUCUGGGUGACAGAGUGAGACUACGUCUUGAAAAAAAAAAAAGAGAGAAAAAAAAGAAAGCUGAGGUGUCUGGACCUGAGCCGGGAAAGGUGAGGACAGGAUAGGCCCUGCAGGGCCCUGGACCGUGUUAAGCAGUUUGGUUUUUAGCCUAAGAGCAAUGGCAUUUAUGACUAAGUGUGCAAUUUACAAAAACUCCUGUGGCUACGGGGUUGUUUUCCUGCUAAGCCCUGCCCUGCCAAGCAAGCAGAAAGGUCUCAGAGUGUGAAUCCACGAGCCAUGGACCGGGAGGGCCUCAGGCCAGACAACAAGUCCCUUUCCACCCAUCCACCUUGCGUUCUGAGAUGGCUGAGCUGUAUGUGUCGCCGUGGCUGGGCUGUGGGGCCCAGUUGUUUGGUCAUGCAUUAGUCUAGAUGCUGCUGUGAAAGUGUGCUGCAGAUGCGGCUCACACUGACAGUCAGCUGACUGCAAGAGAAGGAGAUCGCCCUCAAUAAUGCAGGAGCCUCAUGAAGUCUGUUGGCAGCCUGAAGAGUAAAUACUGAGGUUUCCCAGAGAAGAAACCCAGCCUGGAAUAUCAACUCCUGCCUGAGUCCCCGGCUUGCUGGCUUGCCCUUCACAUUGCAGAAUUGCCAGCCUGCACAAUUGUGUGGGCCAAGUUCUUAAAAUAAAUUUCUUAGUAUAUG